rnacentral:rRNA from 1 species
CAGUCGCCGCGGUAAUACGAGGGGGGCAAGCGUUGUUCGGAAUUAUUGGGCGUAAAGGGUGCGUAGGCGGUUUGAUAAGUCACAUGUGAAAUCUUCGGGCUCAACCCGAAGUCUGCAUGCGAAACUGUCGGGCUUGAGUAUUGGAGAGGUGAGUGGAAUUUCCGGUGUAGCGGUGAAAUGCGCAGAUAUCGGAAGGAACACCUGUGGCGAAAGCGGCUCACUGGACAAUAACUGACGCUGAUGCACGAAAGCUAGGGGAGCAAACAGGAUUAGAUACCCCUGUAGUCCCUGUCUCUUAUAC